GGUUGAAAUACCAAUGUUAGAAAUAUUUCUAACAACAGUGGAUUGAAAACCAGAGGGUUUUCUGGUUGACUCUAAGAAAUUCAGUUCAAUAGAACAACACAUUGUUCCCUAGGCAUACUCUAGAACCCUCUCAAGCAUAAAAUUCUAAAUAGUCUCUUAGUGCCCAAGGAAAAUUCAUAGGCAUGAAAUUGUAACGCCCAUUUCACCUUUUGACCAAGAAAACUGCUGGAAGACCAAGAAGACUCAGAGUAGCUAUGAUAUGCUGUUCUGUGACUUCACAGAAGAUAAUUGUGAAAAGGCCAAGGAAGCAUAGGUAUCAGGGAAGGAGCCAGUAGAAAGAGAGAGAUUGAUGAUGCCAGAGAGAUUGAAGAAGGAAUGGCAGAGCAAGAUUGGUCCUAAAGGAGGCAGAAGGAAAUGGGAUUGAGGUCACCAAGUAAAGGGAAUGACCUUGAAAGAAAGAUCUUUUCCUCUGAUGAAAGAAUAAAAAGAUGAUACAAGUAGAAAUUGGGAUACACAUAGACAAAAGAAAGAAACCAUUUUUUCCAUUAAAAAAAUUCUGAACUUAAAAAACACCAAAUAAAAUGAACAUUUCUAUGA